rnacentral:lncRNA from 1 species
AAAAAAAAGCCCCAGAAACAAAAAAAUAAAUAGUUUUAGCAACUGUUGUGCCUGUGCCUUUCCAUAUAAAUUCUAGAAGUAGCUUGUCUAUGCCCAUGAAAACCCUUGCUGGAAUUGUGAUAGGAAUUGAAUUAAGUGUGUAGAUCCUUUUGGGGAGCACUGGCUUAUUCUGUGAAGUAGGUAAUAGUCGUGGCUCUUCAUGGCUCCCGUGUGGCCCCGGUGGAGUCCCAAGAUCCAUGACACAGUCUUCCUUUUCUUUUAGGCUCCGAUUCUUGAAGUGCUACCAGAUAGGCAGCAUCCCUAUGGGGUCCUUGCCAACAAAGCCCCUCUGUGACCGUAUUGUGGUCUUUAGGUAAGAAAAGACUGGGGCUGUGUGGCCGUGGCUGAACUGGAGUGCCACGUGGCCUCAACAACUCUCAGGACGUCCUCUGGAUCCCUGUGGCCUAUGUCCUGGCCAUGUGCCCCAGAGUUGGUCCUCAUGCCUCAUGGCCCUGCUUAUUAUUUCUGCAUGGGGAGAGCCAACCUGUGGGGCCCAGGCGUUGUGGGCAAGAUCAUGGUCCCUUCCUUCACCCAGCAUUCAGAUCAGGGACAAUAACAGGCGUGGCCAUGGUCCAGCAGAGGACCAACAGUUACAGCUGGGAGAAUUAAUUUAAUGUGAACGCUGACCUUCCUCCCCUGACCCUUCUGAGAAAUCUCAGAGCAGCGUCUUCUGAACCAGCGGCUUCUCUGGUUCAUUUUGCUCUGAUACAACAGGAUGGGCUUCCAGGGCAUGAGUCCCGGACGUGAGUCCCGGGCAUUUGGCUGCGUUUCUGAGGCUGUGGUCACCAGGGAGCAGCCACGUUCUCCCGACGAGUCCCUGCGAGUCUGAGCCCAGCUUUGUGGUCUCAGCUCACUCGGGGUCAGUUGAGGAGGCCUCUGGGUGGGGACGUACCAGUGCCCAUGAGAACGGAGCCCUGUGUGUCUGAUGGUGACCAUGGGGUGGCAUUGAACAGAGGCAUGUCCCAUGUGCCUGGCUGGAAUGCAGGAGGAAGAGUUCUCAGAAUUGAUGAAAUAUGAGAAAUUAGUUUAAAAAAUUUUUAUUUUUAAAAAUUGUGGUGAAAUACACAUAAAAAGUACCCUUUUAAACCAUGUUUAAAUGUCUCAUUCAGUGGUAUUCAGCACAUUCACGGGGUUGUGCAGCCACCACCCAUCUCUAGACCUCCUUUGUUUUCCCAGCCUGAAAUUGUUCCCAUCAAACACCAACUCCCCAUACCCUCCUCAGCCCCUGGAACCACCAUUCUCUCUUCUGCCUCUGUGACUGUGACGACUCCAGGGGCCUCUUAUGAGUGGAAUCACAUGGGAUUUGUCCUUUUGUGUCUGCUGCAUUUCAUUCAGCAUGUUGUCAUAGCUCGUGUCAGCAUCCCUUUCCUUUUCAAGGCUGAAUACUAUUCCAUCGUGUGGAUGGCCGGCAUUGUUUUUAUCCAUUCAUCUGUGGGUAUACAUGUGGGUUGUUUCCACCUUUGGUUACUGUGUAUAGUGGUGCUGUAAACAUGGGUGUGUUAAUAUCUCUUCAAGACCCUGCUUUCCAUUCUUCUGGGCAAGGCUGGGCAUGUUGGCUCACAUGUGUAAUCCCAACGCUUUGGGAGGCUGAGAUGGGCGGAUCACUUGAGGCCAGGAGUUUGAGACCAGCCCAGGCACCAUAGUAAGACCCCACUGCUACAAAAAUAGAAUAAAAUUCCUCUGGGUAUCUAUCCAGAAGUGGAAUGGCUGGAUUAUGUGGGAGUUUUGUGUGUCAUUUUUUGAGGAACCUCCAUACUGUUUUUCAUUAUAGCUGCAGCAUUUUACAUUCCCAGCAGCAGUGUGCAAGCAUUCCCGUUUCUCCACAUCCUUGCCAACACUUGUUAUUUUCUGCUUUUGGAUAGUGGCCAUCCUAAUGGAUACGAGGUAAUUUCUUUUUUAUUUUAUUAUUGUUAUUUUUUUGAGCCUGGGUUUCACACUAUCACCCAGGCUGGAGUGCAACCUCUGCCUCCCAGGUUCCUGCCUCAGCCUCUUGAGUAUCUGGGACUACAGGCGUGUGCCACCAUGCCUGGCUAAUUUUUGUAUUUUUAGUAGAGAUGGGGUUUCACCAUGUGGCCAGGCUGGUCUCAAACUUCUGAGCUCAAGCUCACCUGCCUCAGCCUCCCAAAGUGUUGGGAUUACAGGCGUGAGCCACUGUGCCUGGCCUGGUACAAGGUAAUUUCUCAUUGUGGUUUGAUUUGCAUUUCUCUAGUUACUAUGUUGAGCACCUUCCCAUGUACUUUUUGGUUGGUUGUGUGUCUUCUCUGGAGAAGUGUUUGAGUCAUUUGUCCGUUUUAAGAUCAGAUUGUUUGUCAUUUUGUUUAUCCAUUCAUCUGAUGCCUGGGCUGCUUCCACCUCGUGUCCAUUGUGAGUAGUGCUACUCACAUCACCUGGGUGGACAGACAGUUCAUUCCGUUUUCAAGCAGUCACUGACAGUGUCGCAACUGGCCCUCCUCACAGCGUCGCAAUGUACUCGAGGCCAAACCCAACCAGCCCAGGAAGGACCCCCGGCUGGGGGCCCAUAGGGUGCUGGGUCUGCAGUCUUCCACUGUGGGGCAGGGCGGGGGCACUGUUCAGAAACUGUCCUUAGUGGAGGAAAAUGACGCUUUUUUCCCUGCAGUCCCCAAUAAGCGUUCUGCUGCAGAGAAUGGAGGGCCGCUGCGAGGGGAUACCAAGUGGUGAGGGUUUGCAUUCCUCCUGCAGGCACACAGCCUGCGGGCACAUGGCCUGUGGACACACGGCCUGCAGCCCAGGCGCCAGGUGGACGGGUCAGCAGAGGCGUUUCUUGGAUUUAAUUUCCCGACUGGGAAUGGGUUGAGCCCCGUCUGUCCCUCUGUGUAUUGGCCACACCCGUUUCUUUCCUGUCCCAGGCCUUUCCAAGUCCCUUGUCCUUCUUGCUGAUUUUGUAGGCGUUAUCUGCGUAUCCUUGUCAGUUCUAUGUAUUGCCUGUAUUUUCUAUCAGUGUGAGGCUUGUCUUUCUUUAAUGGUGUCUUUUGGGACAGGAGUUUUUAAUUCCAGUGCAGUGAACUUUUAUUUAUUUUUCUUAAGGUUUGUGCUUUCUGUGCCUUGCUUAAAAAUUCUUUCCCCGCCCUAACCUCAUGAUAAGAACUUCUGUAGUUAUACCUUUCUAUGAAUGAAUGAAUGAGAGGGUAUCGUUCUGUCACCCAGGUUGGAGUGCAGUGGCGUGAUUAUGGCUCAUUGUAGCCUUAAAUUCUUGGCCUCAAGCAAUUCUCCCACCUCAGCCACCCAAGUGGCUGGGACCACAGGCAUUGCGCCACCAUGCCUGGCUAAUUUUUGUAGUUUUUGUAGAGACGGGGGUUCGCCAUGUUGUCUAGGUUGGUCUUGAACUCCUGGGCACAAGCAAUCUGCCUGCCUUGGCCUCCCAGAGAGCUGGGAUUCCAGGUGUGAGCCACAGCGCCUGGCCUGGACCUUUCUUCUGUAGAUUUUUAAUCUACUUGGGGUUGGUGUGGAUGUAUGGUGUGAGGUGGGAAUUAACAUUUUCUGGUUGACAUAACUAGCUGUCCUAACACGAUUCACUGAAAGUUCGUCUUUCCCCACUGACCCAGGGUGCCACUUUGGUCAGACUCCAUGCGUUCACCUGUGUGAGUUUCUUUCUAGACUUCUCAUUCUGCUCCACCCUGUCUGUUUGUCUGCUUCUGUGCUGGUACCGUGAUGUCUUAAUUACUGUACCAUAAGGAUCAUUCUUAGUAACUGGCAUGAUGCUAUCACAAGCUAAGGUCUUCUUCAAAUAACAUUUUGACUUAUCUGUGUGAAUUUUCGAGUCAGCCUGUUUACACACAUAGUCAUGCACACACACAAUAGCAUUUUGAUCAGCAUUGCAUUAAAUGUGUAGGUCAAGUUGGGGAGAACUGAUGUCUUUGUGUUACUGAGUUUUCAAGUCCAAAAACAUUACAUGUCUCUCGCUUAUUUUUUUUUUUUUUUUUUUGAGACGGAGUCUCGCUCUGUCGCCCAGGCUGGAGUGCAGUGGCGGGAUCUCGGCUCACUGCAAGCUCCGCCUCCCGGGUUCAUGCCAUUCUCCUGCCUCAGCCUCCCAAGUAGCUGGGACUACAGGCGCCCGCCACUACGCCCGGCUAAUUUUUUGUAUUUUUAGUAGAGACGGGGUUUCACCGUUUUAGCCGGGAUGGUCUCGAUCUCCUGACCUCGUGAUCCGCCCGCCUCGGCCUCCCAAAGUGCUGGGAUUACAGGCGUGAGCCACCGCGCCUGGCCGUCUCUCGCUUAUUUAUGCCUACUUUAAUUCUGCAAAGUUUGUAUAAUUUUUCUGAAGUCCUUAUAUAUCUUUUGUUAAAUGUAUUUAUUUAAAAUAAUUUUAAUACUGUGGCAAAAGGCAUCCUUGCGAAAUUGCAUUUAUCUAAUUUUUUGUUACUGAUGUUUAGAAAUAAAUUUGCUAAAUUUUAAUUGUUCCUAGUAAUUAUUUUUAUAUAGGUAGCUUGGGGCUUUUACUUUAGACAAUCAUAUGAUCUUAAAUUAAUGACAGUUUUGUUUGUUUUUGGUAAUCCAUAAAUGUUUAGUUUUUUUCCCAUUCCUUUCUCUGAUGGGUCAGGUUAAACAGGGGUGCUGGUGCCUCACUUGGCUCUUGAUCUUAAAGGAAAGUUCAUCAUUGUUUUACCACUUGGUCUGGUGGUUGUUGACAUUUCUUGGUAGGUACUCUUUUUGAGGUUGAGAAAGUUCUUAUAACUGGAAAUCCUAGUUUGCUAAGAUUUUUUUUUUUUUAAAUCACAAAAGUUUGUUGAAAUUUAUCAGUUUUGGGGAGUAUGAAUUGAAAUGAUGAUUAUGUUUUUCGAGGAACUUGUCCAUAUCACCUGUUUUCAAAUUUAUUUUUAUAACAUUUGAUACAGUUUGGAUCUGUGUUCCCACUAAAUCUCACAUUGAAAUGUAGUCCCCAGUGUUGGAGGCGGGGCCUGGUAGGGGGUGUUUGGAUCAUGAGGGCAAAUCUCUUUAACAUCUAGCUUUGAUCCUCUGAACUGGAGUCCUGCAUCCUUGAGAUAACUCUACACUCAUGAUGGAGUGAGAAUGACAAAGGCAAACAAUACCUCAGCAUCACCAUGGAAACCACUGGGACCUCGGGGGUCAUAAGAGGGCCCCAGGGACCCACAGGCUGCUGGGAUCACACUUUUGAGAACCACUGCUCUGCUGCUCUGAUCAGCUCCUUAUACUUGCUGCUCGAUGUGCUAGCCCUGGCGCUGGCUAUUGAAGAGCUAGCAGUGGCCACAUGGAAGCCCUGGACAGCUUAGUGGUGUGCUCUACAAAUGACUCUGUCCAGGGCAUCUCCCAACACAGCAGUGGGACAAGAAGACAAUGACGGGAUGUUGCAUGAACUGACCCUCAGAACCCAAUGUCCAGGAGAACAUGAACUGGGAUCUUGAAGUUCUUCAGAAAGAUCAGAGUGAGCGGUGGCCCUGAGUCACUCUGUAGCAGUCAUGGCAGUGAGAAGAGCCACUCUCUAAUCAUAAUGGAAUUGCAAGAUUGCCAAAUUAAGUCACCCAGUUAAUUGUGGCCCUUAA